GACAGAGGGUGCAAACGUUGUUCGGAGUUACUGGGCGUAAAGCGUGUGUAGGCUGCCCUAUAAGUCGGGUGUGAAAGCCCUGGGCUCAACCCAGGAAGUGCACUCGAAACUGCAGGGCUGGAGUAUCGGAGAGGUUGGUGGAAUUCUCGGUGUAGAGGUGAAAUUCGUAGAUAUCGAGAGGAACACCGGCGGCGAAGGCGGCCAACUGGACGAAUACUGACGCUGAGACACGAAAGCGUGGGGAGCAAACAGG
rnacentral:rRNA from 1 species